UUGGGGGAGAAAGAAAGUAAAAGCCCUAGCGAGGCUGCCGCCAUCGUGCUGCCUUGCCGAAGGAAUCGAGCGAGAAGGAGGGAGAAACAGGAGGAGCGCAAGGACUAGCUGAGAGCGGCCGGAGAAGGGGAACAAUCGACGCAAGGACUAGGCGAGAGACAAAAGGGAUAGGGAGAUCGAUGGCUUCCACCCUGCUGCGCACGUCGACCCUCCGGGGAAGCGCCUUCCGCCGUGUCCUCUCAGCAGCGGCUGCGGCUGCGCCUUCAGGUGGGGAGGGGCUGGCAGCCCGCCGGGCUGCCCCGCUCCGUCGCCUCUUGCACUCGGGCGCUCCAGGUGAUCAGCCUCCCACGUCUCUGGAUGAGAAGGUUAAUUUGUUACAUCAGAGUAUCAAUGAGCUGGAUAUGAAAGUGGAGAAAAGAUUUUUAAUAUUUGCAAGCCUUCAAAAACUGGUUGAGGAAAAGAAGCUACUCAAUCCAUUUAUCCAGUGGUCAUGGCAGGUGGGUGUUGUUGCUUUAAUUGUAUUCGCCGAGCGCUGGAUGGGCUCAGACAGAGAGAAUAAUUAGAUUAUAUUUUGGCUUUUGAGGGUGGACACAUUUUUGGGACAGCUGUGGUGUGGUACAAGGAUAAAUAGCAACGCAUGAAAUCAUGUCUUCCUAACUAUUUGUUCCGUAGUGUUGGGAGACAGAAGGAUAGCUGCUCUCACGUGGUGCUUGUCUUUUGGUGUUAUUAAGGACACUGAUAAACCCGGGUUCAACAGAAACUGUGUUUCGUCUAUACUGAGAAAAUGUUUCGUUCA